rnacentral:misc_RNA from 1 species
UUUCCGUAGGUGAACCUGCGGAAGGAUCAUUGCACACACGAUGCAGCAAACUAGCGAACUGUGUUUGUCCCCCACCUACCCCAAACACGAGGGGCCGCAUCUGGAGGUGCGGCUGUCGACGGCAAGGUCCCGACCUUCGGGUCCCCGCAGUGGUUCCCGCAAGCGGGCUGAUCAUGUCGCCGUCUGGGUGUCCCGCGCGGACUCUCGCCUUGCCAUCGGGUUGGGCGACGCGGGCAUUCUCCUCCCUUCGAUGGCGGCGUCCCCUCCUCCGGGAGAGCGACACGCCUCGAGGGCGGUUUACAACUUUGCACCAUGUGCAACACCAAUGACUGGGUAUACCUGUGGCCCGGUUCCGCUGCUGCCCUCGGGUGGUGCGGGAUUGGUCCGUAGGAACAAGAGUAAAUAAAAACAACUCUCAGCAACGGAUAUCUUGGCUCUU